rnacentral:lncRNA from 1 species
UUGACACCAGGCAGUUACUGGAAAUCAUGUACAGGGUUAUACCAGUUGUGUCGAAGGUACAUACCUCCUCAGGAAAAAGUACUUUACCAUUCCCAUAAUGAUGCUCCUAGAUGGGAGCAGAAGACCGGUUUCUCGUUGUCCUUGUGGCAGCAGUAGAUGUUUUGGGAAGGUGCACAAUAACAGGACAUACGUGGAGGGGGAUCCUUUCCCAGGCAGUGAAUCAGAGAAAAAAAAAGCUUGCCAGAGAGGAAUGGAAGAUGAUUUGGAAGCAUGCUAAUGAGCCGGGGGAAAGAUGGAAUUCCCACAUUUUUACUCGUAACUACCUUCACCAGCUGCGAAGACAAAGCCAAGCCAUGGCUUCCUCUCUGCACCCUACCAGCCAUGCUGCGCCUAUUCACUGUCAGGGAACAGACGUGGGAGUGCAGCAGCUCUUUCAGUAUCAUCGUGGAUUUUGGAUUUUGGGUAGUAGUGCUCCAGGUUACCAGACACCUGCCUGUUGAAAGUGAGAAGACCUGCGUUUGGCAGGCUGUAUCAGUUUCAUAACAUCAGACCAUUCAGAGCUUAGCAGGACAGAUAAGAACUCAGAUGAAGUUUCCAUACAUCACCACACAAUGGGGAGGCAAGCUUAGUCAUGAGCAUUCUUCCAGUGUUUUUUCCUUCCUUCCAUACACCGAGAAAAAUAGAUAUUUUCUCUCAAAAUUGCUAAGGAAUGAUUUAUCUAGUAGCUCAUCGUAGUCCUACAGCCUUGAACAUGUGCCUGUCUGCUCCAGUCUCUGCAUAUCGCAAUUACCCGGUGUCUGCUCAUAUUGUCUUAAGUCAAGGGAAGCCUUCAUUGAAGACAGUAAGUGCUCACUGAAGACAUUAACUGCUGCUAUCUGCUUUGGGCACCCAGAUUCCCAAAAGUGAUAUUCCUGUGUGUUGUCUGGGCUUGAGCUGCCUUGAGGAUGCUAUUGAACCUCCAUUGGGCUUUUAUCAGAAAAUAGCUACUUACCCUCUGAACUGCAACACCCCCGAAAGGCAAUGAAGGAACUGCAAAGUGGGAUUGAUGUGUUUGUUGACAGUCAAUAAUGACAACAUUUUGAACUGAGUUUAAUUAUGGCAAUUUUUGUGCAGGAAAGGUGCAGGUUGUGUUCACCAAGUCUAGUGGUUUUAUUUCGACACACUGCAGCACUGAAACAUGCUAAUGUUCCAUUGUCAAGCAGCCGGUAAAAAAAUAAAUAAAAAAAAAAAAGCUGAUAAUUUACA